GAUGAAGAACGCAGUGAAACGCGAUAUGUAAUGUGAAUUGCAGAAUUCAGUGAAUCAUCGAAUCUUUGAACGCACAUGGCGCCUUCCAGUAUCCUGGGAGGCAUGCCUGUCCGAGCGUCGUUUCAACCCUCGAGCCCCCGUGGCCCGGCGUUGGGGAUCUGCCCAGGCAGUCCCCGAAAACCAGUGGCGGACCCGUUACAGGCCCUUCCCUUGCGUAGUAGCAUUCGCCUCGCAUCGGGAGCCGGCGGGCUUCCAGCCUCUAAACCCCCAUCAAGUCCGCCCCGGCGGCACCAAGGUUGACCUCGGAUCAGGUAGGAAUACCCGCUGAACUUAAGCAUAUCAAUAAGCGGAGG
rnacentral:misc_RNA from 1 species